GAGACAGAUGAUGAUUUGAUGGAAGAACUCCAUAUGAAGCCACUGGAUGAUGUGAAGGAUAAAAAAUUUGAAUCAGAGUUUAAGGAGCUGUAUCAGACUGAUGAGGAGAUUGAUGAUUUGUACAGCGCCAAGGACUGUCAUGAAGAAAAUCCUGAAGGAUGAGUACUUCAACAUGGAUGACAAUAAAUGGGAUGAGAUGAUUAAGGAGGCAAUGGAACAAGGUUUUUUGAAGGACACAAGGGAAUGUGAGGA
rnacentral:misc_RNA from 1 species